AAGGAAAUUCUUUGCUUCAUGUCUCGCAAAAUUAAUACUAUACCAUUUUUCAUUAACAAGACAAAGGACAUGUGUUGCAUAUCGUACGAUCCAUUCAAGCCUUAGCAAGCAGAAGCUAAGAACAAAGCAAAAGCAGAAGCAGCCAAUCGUAAAGUCGAAGGGUUGAGUUCCAACUCGCAACUCGCAAAACUGAGCGUCAAACAGGGAUUCGGUGUGCAUCUGGUUCCUACUUGGCAACCACCUUCGUCAUGCUACUCACAAGUAUCAACCCAUCCUUUUUUUUUUCUUUUUAUAUUUGUUUGGAGUUUAUAUUUAUUG